CCUACGGGAGGCAGCAGUGAGGAAUAUUGGUCAAUGGGCGCGAGCCUGAACCAGCCAAGUAGCGUGAAGGAUGACUGCCCUACGGGUUGUAAACUUCUUUUAUAAAGGAAUAAAGUGAGGCACGUGUGCCUUUUUGUAUGUACUUUAUGAAUAAGGAUCGGCUAACUCCGUGCCAGCAGCCGCGGUAAUACGGAGGAUCCGAGCGUUAUCCGGAUUUAUUGGGUUUAAAGGGAGCGUAGAUGGGUUGUUAAGUCAGUUGUGAAAGUUUGCGGCUCAACCGUAAAAUUGCAAGUGAUACUGGCAGUCUUGAGUGCAGUUGAGGUAGGCGGAAUUCGUGGUGUAGCGGUGAAAUGCUUAGAUAUCACGAAGAACCCCGAUUGCGAAGGCAGAUUACUAAGCUGUGACUGACAUUGAUGCUCGAAAGUGUGGGUAUCAAACAGGAUUAGAUACCCUGGUAGUC
rnacentral:rRNA from 1 species